GACGAACGCUGGCGGCGUGCCUAAUACGUGCAAGUCGAACGCUUCUUUCCUCCCGAGUGCUUGCACUCAAUUGGAAAGAGGAGUGGCGGACGGGUGAGUAACACGUGGGUAACCUACCCAUCAGAGGGGGAUAACACUUGGAAACAGGUGCUAAUACCGCAUAACAGUUUAUGCCGCAUGGCAUAAGAGUGAAAGGCGCUUUCGGGUGUCGCUGAUGGAUGGACCCGCGGUGCAUUAGCUAGUUGGUGAGGUAACGGCUCACCAAGGCCACGAUGCAUAGCCGACCUGAGAGGGUGAUCGGCCACACUGGGACUGAGACACGGCCCAGACUCCUACGGGAGGCAGCAGUAGGGAAUCUUCGGCAAUGGACGAAAGUCUGACCGAGCAACGCCGCGUGAGUGAAGAAGGUUUUCGGAUCGUAAAACUCUGUUGUUAGAGAAGAACAAGGACGUUAGUAACUGAACGUCCCCUGACGGUAUCUAACCAGAAAGACACGGCUAACUACGUG
rnacentral:rRNA from 1 species